GCUUGCACUCUUUGGACGUCGACCGGCGCACGGGUGAGUAACGCGUAUCCAACCUUCCCAUUACUGUGGGAUAACCUGCCGAAAGGCAGACUAAUACCGCAUGGUCUUCGAUGACGGCAUCAGAUUUGAAGUAAAGAUUUAUCGGUAAUGGAUGGGGAUGCGUCUGAUUAGCUUGUUGGCGGGGUAACGGCCCACCAAGGCGACGAUCAGUAGGGGUUCUGAGAGGAAGGUCCCCCACAUUGGAACUGAGACACGGUCCAAACUCCUACGGGAGGCAGCAGUGAGGAAUAUUGGUCAAUGGACGGAAGUCUGAACCAGCCAAGUAGCGUGCAGGAUGACGGCCCUAUGAGUUGUAAACUGCUUUUGUAUGGGGAUAAAGUUAGGGACGUGUCCCUAUUUGCAGGUACCAUACGAAUAAGGACCGGCUAAUUCCGUGCCAGCAGCCGCGGUAAUACGGAAGGUCCGGGCGUUAUCCGGAUUUAUUGGGUUUAAAGGGAGCGUAGGCCGGAGAUUAAGUGUGUUGUGAAAUGUAGACGCUCAACGUCUGACUUGCAGCGCAUACUGGUUUCCUUGAGUACGCACAACGUUGGCGGAAUUCGUCGUGUAGCGGUGAAAUGCUUAGAUAUGACGAAGAACUCCGAUUGCGAAGGCAGCUGACGGGAGCGCAACUGACGCUUAAGCUCGAAGGUGCGGGUAUCAAACAGGAUUAGAUACCCUGGUAGUCCGCACAGUAAACGAUGGAUGCCCGCUGUUGGUACCUGGUAUCAGCGGCUAAGCGAAA
rnacentral:rRNA from 1 species